ACAAAAUACAUAUAGGGUAUGCUGUUAAUGAUGGUACAGAGAAGAGGCUUUCUUCACAAGCUGGGUUAGAUGAGUAACCUAAAGACGGAACAAUUUCUCAAAUUUAUUCAACUAACAGGUGUAUGGGAGGCAGAUGAAUUCCUAAACUACAUUCUGAGGACAAACAGAAGGUGUCAACCUCUAAAACAGCCCUCUUGGUGCUGGGCCUUCUCUGCUACCCCAGGAAGUCCAAA
rnacentral:lncRNA from 1 species